ensembl:snRNA U6 U6 spliceosomal RNA
GUGCUCGCUUCAGCAGCACAUAUACUAAAAUUGGAACGAUACAGAGAUUAGCAUGGCCCCUGCGCAAGGAUGACACGCAAAUUUGUGAAGCGUUCCAUGUUUUU